UAUGUACUCCCUCCGUUCUGAAUUACUUGUCUUGAAUUUGUCUAGAUACGGAUGUAUCUAGACUCAUUUUAGUGCUAGAUACAUCCGUAUCUAGACAAAUCUAAGACAAGUAAUUCGGAACGGAGGGAGUACAAA
rnacentral:pre_miRNA from 1 species